CGGGGAACAAAAGAAGAAUAACCCAAGUGAAGAAAAGUGGACCAAGCAAGGAGGCAAUGUCUUGAGUGUUUUUAGUUACUUGUUUUGGAACUUCUUUGANNNNNNNNNNGAGGCAAUGUCUUGAGUGUUUUUAGUUACUUGUUUUGGAACUUCUUUGACAAACUCAAAUAAUAUCUUUGUCUCCAGGCCUUUUAGAAACUUAAGAUAAGCAUUUGAUAUCUGCAAGGAAAAAUUAUAUAUAGGAACGUAAUUGCACGAUGAGAAAAUGUCUUGAGAAGGUACG
rnacentral:lncRNA from 1 species